UGAGGAAUAUUGGUCAAUGGGCGCAAGCCUGAACCAGCCAAGUCGCGUGAGGGAAGACGGUCCUACGGAUUGUAAACCUCUUUUGUCGGGGAGUAACGUGCGGGACGGGUCCCGUAUUGAGAGUACCCGAAGAAAAAGCAUCGGCUAAUUCCGUGCCAGCAGCCGCGGUAAUACGGAAGGUCCGGGCGUUAUCCGGAUUUAUUGGGUUUAAAGGGAGCGUAGGCGGGCUAUUAAGUCAGCUGUGAAAUCCGGCGGCUCAACCGUCGGCCUGCAGUUGAUACUGGUGGCCUUGAGUGCGCGCAGGGGCGUUGGAAUUCAUGGUGUAGCGGUGAAAUGCUCAGAUAUCAUGAAGAACUCCGAUCGCGAAGGCAGAUGCCCGGAGCGCAACUGACGCUGAGGCUCGAAAGUGCGGGUAUCAAACAGGAUUAGAUACCCUGGUAGU
rnacentral:rRNA from 1 species